rnacentral:rRNA from 1 species
CAGUUCGGAUUGCAGGCUGCAACUCGCCUGUAUGAAGUCGGAAUUGCUAGUAAUCGUGGAUCAGCAUGCCACGGUGAAUACGUUCCCGGGCCUUGUACACACCGCCCGUCACACCAUGAGAGCCGGGAACACCCGAAGUCCGUAGUCUAACCUAUAUGGAGGACGCGGCCGAAGGUGGGUUUGGUAAGUUGGGGUGAAGUCGUAACAAGGUAAC